rfam:Sphingomonadales bacterium RIFCSPHIGHO2_01_FTLL_65_20 rifcsphigho2_01_scaffold_47, whole genome shotgun sequence.
UCACUUCCCAUUCACCAAAGCAUCGCUAUAUGGGUUCCUGCCGGCUCGUCCGGCUAUGACGAUAAAUUGCGGCGUGCAAUAGGCACAGCGGACCCGGGGGCGGUACCCGGCGGCUCCACCAUAAUCCUCGUGAAAGCGGGGCUUUUGACGGGGCCGAACUAGGAUCGACGUGUGUUGAAAAGCGGUGUUUUCGUCCGGGCUGAGUAACCCGUUAAAGGCUCAAAACUCAUAAGUGCCAAUGACAAUGACGCACUCGCACUUGCUGCCUAAUUCAGCGGCCUAACGGCCAAGAAUAAGGAAGUAAGAGCGCGGUUGAACCCACCGGGCAACAGAAGCGGAGUUCAGCGGUUUGGAGAGCACCGGGCAACAGAAGCUCUCCACU